rnacentral:lncRNA from 1 species
CAGUGAUCCAAAAACCUGACCAGGUCACAAAUUACAGGUUUGUUAAUUGUAUUAUUACAAUACAUUAAAUAUUUUAAUCACUAUAUAAUGAACAUAUUUUCAAUAGAAAAUUGUAUUUGUCCACUUAAUCCAAAGAAUAUGUUUGUUAUAGAAAACUGAAUUUGCUCACGUAAACUGCAAUGAACUAACUCACAAGUCUCAUUUAGUUUCCCCUGAGGAACAGAAAAUUUCAGAUUCCCUUGGUUUAGCUUUUUCCUUGAGGAUUUUUGAAAUAAAGGCUACUUCUAGCUGCUUCAAACCUGCUACACCCAGUGUAAAAGCACUUUCUUCCACAUCCUGGAAGCCCCAUUUAAAUACAAUGCUGAGCCGAUGGACCAUAAAUGCAACCCAAUGUGGUAAUUCCUAAAUUCCUAUUUAACACACUUGAUCUCCAACAUUUUAGUAUGAAUAACAAUUAGAUCCUGUGAGACGGGGUGUUUAUAGUAUAAAAACAGGAUGAAACUCAGAAAGAAAUAAAGCCCCAGAAAAUCAUCAGUCUAUGUAGCUUAGUUAUAGUAGCUGUACUUCAUUAAAUUCAGGUUCAUUUUAGUUCAUAUACGUUAGUAUUCUGCAAAGUUUAUUGCCAUCUUCUCUAGGCAUUCAUUUUCUCAGAUAGGAUAGUUUUGCUUUUUUUCUUUCCAAAUCUUACAUUAGUCCCUGUCUCUAUAAUUACUAUUCUCUAGAUUUAUAAUUGUUCCACUAUGUCUUUCUUGAGUUGCAACAACCAGCUAUGCACACAACCUUCCAGGUGUGGAUUCACUAUACUUCUAUUAAAAGCUAUAUAAUUACUGGCCUGGAAAAGUCAAAAAGGUGCUGUAAACUGAGUGUAUCUAUUUUCGGCCACAGACAAAGAAGAUUGAAUUAACCACACUCCUCCAUUCCUAGCAUAAGCCUUGUGUCUUGUUUAUUGUUGUUUUAUUUAUUUUCUCUCAUCCCCAUACCUCUCUCCCAAUCUCCUCAACCCCAUAGCACCUAUUUUAAUUAUUUGAAUAUAUAUCUUUUGUGUCUGUGUUCUUUCCAAAUGGAUAUUUGUUUGCACAUAAUUAUGCACACACAUGCACACACACAUAUAUAAAACUCUGUAACUUUCAUUACACAGUAUGUCUGUAAGAUUCAUCCAUGUUGCCAUGCAGAUAGCAUACACCUAAUAUAUUACUUUUAGCUGCUGUUAAAGCAGCAUCAGAUAUUUCCCUAAGAUAUUUGGCAAAAUAUCUCAUGUUAUCUUUAAGAAUAAGAUGGAUAGACUGAAACUGUGGCAGCAGAGUACAGGGAAAUUCAAAGUUGGAAAACAAUAUUAAAAGUGUGUUGCUUUGACAGAUAUCCCA